AAUCAACGCUGGCGGCGUGCCUAACACAUGCAAGUCGAACGCGAAAGUCCCGCAAGGGAUCAGUAGAGUGGCAAACGGGUGAGUAACGCGUGGGUGACCUGCCUUCGAGCGGGGGAUAACGUUCCGAAAGGGACGCUAAUACCGCAUAACAUCCUGCCUUUGAAGAGGUAGAGAUCAAAGCUGGGGAUCGCAAGACCUGGCACUUGAAGAGGGGCCCGCGUCUGAUAGCUAGUUGGUGAGGUAACGGCUCACCAAGGCGACGAUCAGUAUCCGGCCUGAGAGGGCGGACGGACACACUGGGACUGAGACACGGCCCAGACUCCUACGGGAGGCAGCAGUGGGGAAUUGUUCGCAAUGGGCGCAAGCCUGACGACGCAACGCCGUGUGGAGGAUGAAGAUUUUCGGAU
rnacentral:rRNA from 1 species